CAAAUACAUCCCACAAUGCAAUGCAGUAGGGAUGACAACAACAACAUAACAGACAAUGGCCGACAGCGACCAAGGCAGCUCUGGCAUAACGUCAAUAACACUUCAAUUUAACUACUUGACGUACGAUGCAGUUCGUUUGAAGCAGAUUGAAUUCUUUAGGAGGCUUCCUAUCAGAGACCUGCAAACCUCAGAAGCCGAGUGGCAGGGGAGCCGUGGGUUUACAUUUGUGUGUGUGUGUGUGUAUGUGUGUGUACGUACAGUAGUGCGUGUG